GUGAAUCAUCGAAUCUUUGAACGCAAAUUGCACUCACUUGGGAGAGUAUGCGUGUUUGCGGGUCAGCCUAAAAAAAGUCGACAUAGUUGCGGUUACGCGGUAGCAUUCGUCGGAAAUUGGGUCAUGAUAAACGUUUGGGUAUAAGCGGGAUAAAAUUUUCUUGACGAUUAGAAGAACGUAUCUAAGAGUGUAUUUUCUGAUACGUAUAAGGUAUCGAUCUUUAUGAGACGUGGGCGGUGCAUCGGAU
rnacentral:misc_RNA from 1 species